rnacentral:rRNA from 1 species
UACGAAGGGGCUAGCGUUGCUCGGAAUCACUGGGCGUAAAGCGCACGUAGGCGGACUCUUAAGUCGGGGGUGAAAUCCUGGAGCUCAACUCCAGAACUGCCUUCGAUACUGAGGUCUUGAGUCCGGGAGAGGUGAGUGGAACUGCGAGUGUAGAGGUGAAAUUCGUAGAUAUUCGCAAGAACACCAGUGGCGAAGGCGGCUCACUGGCCCGGUACUGACGCUGAG